GGGGCUGAAUUUUAAGCUCGACGUCGGACUUUAUCGGUUAGAUUAGCAGGUCGCUUAUCAGCGUGAGGCCUGUCGCACAGUAAAGCUUGUAUCAAGAUUCGAUAUUAUUAAGCGAAAGUUAUCGAAAAAUACAAAAUGUAACCCAGGCUACGUUGAGUACUUAAGGAUAAUUUACAACCAAUAAAAAUCGGAUCACAGAUAAGAAUUUACUGUGUGGCCGGUCUCUAAUAGGUACAUUUUUUUAGAUGCAAAUAAAGUAUCUGAAGCAAAGGUUGCUGUUGCAAACUUGUUUGCACGUAGCUUUGCACCAGCUGUAGCUUAAUUUCUACAGCCGUACAUCGUUUGACGUCAGAUAAAACCAAUGUACGUCAUAUUUCUGGCUGGGUUUUUGGCUCUACCCUAGCUAAAGGCUAAGAUAUUCAUGGGUUGCGUGAAUUUGUUAUUUUGUCUGUUUACAGGCAGAUCCACAAAGAUAAUCACUAAACAGACUAAGCCUGUAGAUGACUAAUCAAGAUAAACCAACGGACGCGGGGGCAGUACCCGCCAGCUCCACCA
rnacentral:tmRNA from 2 species